GGGCCGUUAGCUCAGUUGGUAGAGCCGCGGACUUUUAAUCCGAAGGUCGUAGGUUCGAUUCCUACACGGCCCACCA
rnacentral:tRNA from 1 species